rnacentral:tRNA from 1 species
GGGCCAGUGGUCUAACCUGGAAUGACACCUCCUUGGCGUGGAGGAGGCUCUGGGUUCAAACCCGAGAGAAGGGAAAGCGAAACGACGCAUCGAAAAAUAGACGAGCGAAGCUCGUCAAGUAACGAUGCAUCAUUCGGCUCCCCUUCUCUAAGGGAACGACAAAUUGACGAGCAGGGCUCGUCAGGUCGUUAUCCCUUAUGGAAAAUAUUAUCUCCAACGGUGAAAAUCCCAGCUGGUCCA